GCGUUGUUGGACCAUUUCGUCGUGAAGCCCAUGGCGUGUGCUGGAAUCAACAUCUUCGUGGUGAAACGCGGCGUUUUCCAUUAGGGUUAACGUGAGUGUUUCUUCGCGUCUCCAGAGCUAAUCGCAGCCGAUCUUUCAUCUCCUUCAUCACGAAACCAGUAACCGAUUAAUCAUCUUUAAGCCCUCCAUUAAUCGAUCACCCACGAUCUAUAAAAAGGUAUGCUUUUUGUUAUGCAAGGAGAAACCGAGGUAAAGCUUUCAACCUUUCACAUCUAUGCUCUUGGUUUCUUCAGAAUCAUUCAUUAAUUUUAUGAUUCUUAGGAAAUUGAUUGAGAAUAACUAUGAGUACGAUGGUGAUGACCCUCUCUUUCCUUUUAUCUUUCUACUUUGUCUUCCUGAUCCAAUCUCUAUGCAUGAGCUUCUUUCAAAUGUAUGAAAUGGAUGGUAGAGGCUUUUCCUCCAGGACGAGAAUGCUGGAACGGUGGUUGGUGAUGUACGUGCAAACCGUUCGCAAGCUCUGGCAAUCGGAACGCUACAAUGAUAAUCUUUGUUAUCUCAAAGUUUGGUAGGAAUAAUGUUUUUUGCAGGUUAAGGCAUUUGAAAACACAUGUUAUGCUUUGCACCUGGAGUUUCAGCCUAAGGUGAAGACUGCCAAUGAGAUCUUCAAUCUCAUAAUAUCUAGAAAUGCAAAGCCUAUGAAAUGUUGAAUGGUGGUGCAAGAACUUCAUGGUGAGAACUGUGAAAAGACCCAAACCAGCUGAUGAAAAGAGAGAGAUCUUUCAUGAUUUGGCUCCGCUAUUGUGGCACUCUGUUGGUACCGUUCGUGCUCUUCUUCAGGUACUCUUCGUCCAUUAAGGCUGUCUGGAACUUUGACAUGCUGAAAGCGAUGAAGCACAUGCGAUUGAUAGCUGGAAGCGAUGAAGGAGAAGUGUUUGCACAUGAGGAGUAGCCAAAUUUGGGUGGAAUCAACAUGGAAAAGCUCCAUAGACUUGACUAUGCUCAAGUAUUUCUUCUUAUGCUGUGACUCUGAAGUACCUUUUCUUUUAUCACUUGUCAUGUACCUAUUAAGCUAAGCCUGCAGAGAACGUAGCUUCUGUGUAUGCUUUAUGUUUUUUUAGGAUAUCUCCUUUUAUCUAUCAUCUUGCACAAAACAUGGAUUAGGCUUUUUAAACUGUUGUUUUGUUGGCCGCCACCACCAGAAAAUCAGUUGCUUUUAGUGUAAAAAUUGUUUCCCUCA